UACGUAGGUGGCAAGCGUUGUUCGGAAUUACUGGGCGUAAAGGGCUCGUAGGCGGCCAACUAAGUCAGACGUGAAAUCCCUCGGCUUAACCGAGGAACUGCGUCUGAUACUGGAUGGCUUGAGUUCGGGAGAGGGAUGCGGAAUUCCAGGUGUAGCGGUGAAAUGCGUAGAUAUCUGGAGGAACACCGGUGGCGAAGGCGGCAUCCUGGACCGAUACUGACGCUGAGGAGCGAAAGCCAGGGGAGCAAACGGGAUUAGAUACCCUAGUAGU
rnacentral:rRNA from 1 species